rnacentral:rRNA from 1 species
UACGUAGGCAGCGAGCGUUGUUCGGAUUUACUGGGCGUAAAGGGUGCGUAGGCGGACGGCUUUGUCGGGCGUGAAAUUCCAGGGCUCAACCUUGGGGCUGCGUUCGAGACGGGUUGUCUAGAGUUUGGGAGAGGGUCGUGGAAUUCCCAGUGUAGCGGUGAAAUGCGUAGAUAUCGGGAGGAACACCUGUGGCGAAAGCGGCUCACUGGACCAUUACUGACGCUGAUGCGCGAAAGCUAGGGGAGCAAACAGG